UACAGAGGUCUCAAGCGUUGUUCGGAUUCAUUGGGCGUAAAGGGUGCGUAGGCGGCGCGGUAAGUCGGGUGUGAAAUCUCGGAGCUUAACUCCGGAACUGCAUUCCAUACUGCGGUGCUUGAGGACUGGGAGAGGAGACUGGAAUUUACGGUGUAGCAGUGAAAUGCGUAGAGAUCGUAAGGAAGACCAGUGGCGGAAGGCGGGUC
rnacentral:rRNA from 1 species